GACGUAGGGCGCGAGCGUUGUCCGGAUUAUUGGGCGUAAAGAGCUCGUAGGCGGCUUGUUGCGUCGACUGUGAAACCUGCGGCUCAACCGUGUGGUCUGCAGUCGAUACGGGCAGGCGUGGAGUUCGGUAGGGGAGACUGGAAUUCCUGGUGUAGCGGUGAAAGUGCGCAGGAUAUCAGGAAGAACACCCGUGGCGAAGGCGGCUCGUCGUGGGACGGUACUGACGCUGAGACGCGAAGCGUGGGAGCAACAGG
rnacentral:rRNA from 1 species